UACAGAGGUCCCAAGCGUUACUGAGAAUCACUGGGUUUAAAGGGUGCGUAGGUGGUCCGUUAAGUCAGUUGUGAAAUCCCCGGGCUCAACCCGGGAACUGCUUCUGAUACUGGCGGACUUGAGGCCAGUAGGGGUCACUAGAACUGACGGUGGAGCGGUGAAAUGCGUAGAUAUCGUCAGGAAUGCCGGUGGUGAAGACGGGGUGACUGGGCUGGUUCUGACACUGAGGCACGAAAGCGUGGGGAGCGAACGGGG
rnacentral:rRNA from 1 species